rnacentral:rRNA from 1 species
UACGGGGGGAGCAAGCGUUGUUCGGAUUUACUGGGCGUAAAGAGCUCGUAGGUGGUUCGGUAAGUCGGAUGUGAAAUCUCCAGGCUCAACCUGGAGGGGUCAUUCGAUACUGCCGUGACUAGAGGUCGGUAGGGGAGUGUGGAAUUCCUGGUGGAGCGGUGAAAUGCGCAGAUAUCAGGAGGAACACCCGUAGCGAAGGCGGCACUCUGGGCCGAUACUGACACUGAGGAGCGAAAGCGUGGGGAGCGAACAGG